AUUUAGGAAUGAUUCACCUAGUGCCUUUUCUUCUUUCAUAGAAGUACUAUCUAUUGAGGCGCUACCUUAUUCCGUGAUUACUUAUUCUAAUACUUGUGAUAAUCUAGAGAUUUUAGACAAGGGGGUAGUUCUCGUCCGAGGGUUGAGGGGUGAGGCGAGGUGUGUGAACCUUCGAGUGAAUUUGUAAGCCUUAAUGUGAAUGAUGAGGGAAUUUUUAAAGCUUCAGGGAUUUUUACCAAUCUUAUCUAGCAGGAUUUGAGUGAAAUUCAA
rnacentral:lncRNA from 1 species